UACCCGUAGAUCCGAACUUGUGUUCACUUGAACUCCACAAGUUUGAUUUUACGGGUUGA
rnacentral:pre_miRNA from 1 species